rnacentral:tRNA from 1 species
GGGCGGUUAGCUCAGGUGGUUAGAGUACCUGCUUGACAUGCAGGGGGUCGGCAGUUCGAGUCUGCCAUCGCCCACCA